UACGUAGGGGGCAAGCGUUGGUCCGGAAUUAUUGGGCGUAAAGAGCAGCGUAGGCGGUCCGAUAAGUCGGCUGUGAAAGUCAGGGGCUCAACCCUUGGAAGCCGGCCGAUACUGUCGGACUAGAGUCCGGAAGAGGCGAGUGGAAUCCCGGUGUAGCGGUGAAAUGCGCAGAUAUCGGGAAGGAACACCAAUGGCGAAGGCAGCUCGCUGGGACGGUACUGACGCUGGAGGGCGCGAAAGCGUGGGGAGCAAACAGGAUUAAGAAACCCUGAGUAGUCC
rnacentral:rRNA from 1 species